UGAUGGUUUCUGGCUGAGAAUGAAAGCUGUAGAAGAAUCCCAAAUAAGAUUUCUUAUCAAAAUCACAGAUUUCACUGUAACUAUUGCUAUUCUGUACAGGGAGCACAUUGAUAUUUUUUAAACGGAGGUGUUAAGGAGGCUCUAAUGUCUACUGAUCUUAGGAUACUAUUGAAUAAAAUCAAGGCUGGCAGAAAUUUGAUUUUAAAUGGAAUGCGGAGUUGUCUUUUCUCGAAGGGAGUCGGAACAAAACUCGAUAAACCCAAGCUAUCUCUUAAGUAGUCAGAUAAAAAUUCAACUCUUCUUUCAGAUAUGAGAUUGGAGGGUAGACUAUGAGAAACUAUACAAGCUUCCAACAAGAAUCACACAAGUUGGAGAUUUUACAGCUAUUAACCUCUGAGAACAAACAAGGUAAGUUUUUUUUUUUAAACUUCAGCUGCAAUAUUCUAAUGCAGUAAUUCUUGAUUUGGAGUAGAGGAUAUAAGUGCUUCAUCCAUCUUCAAUUUUCCAUUGGACCAAGCUGGUAAAUAUGACAAUUACAUAAAAAGAAAAAUAAUU